UUUUAAUGUGCAAUGAUGGCUGGAUCAUUUAAAGUUCCUUUUAGAAAAUAACAUAAGCCAAAGACUGAAGUGUACAUAUGUCUAUAUGGAAGAAGCACAUUAUAUUUAUUGGUUACUUACAUUACUUUUUUGAUGGAUAAAAUACUACCGCCACACAAUCAUUUUUGUUGUUGUUGUUGUUUUAGGAGAGUUAGCUAAAAAUCAAUGGUAAACAAUUUUUUGUAGAUUAUUUUUUGUAUGUUUAGUGUAAGUAAAGGAUAAACUUUUUAUUCAUAAACCAGGAAGCAAUGUUUUCUGUAGUGGUUCCCUUGUGUACAUGCCUGUGAAUUAAAUUUAUGUAAAACAUCUUGGCAAUUGUCUUUGAAUAGAGGACCAAAUUAAAACAUUUCACUGAAAAUGUAGUUCUCCCCCAGUUUCAUUAGGUAAAUGAUGGCUUGAUGGUUGCCUAUGAGAAAUCUGCACAGCAGAGGACAUUGCAGGUAGCUUGCCCAAUGUGGAAUAUUACCUUUAAGCAUUGUUUAAACAUUAAAGAGUUAGUCUCUGCCUAUGGCCUGACACUGUUCAGGAUCACCAGAUGACAACAUUGCUGCUUGCAGGAUCAAGUUUUAGCAGAGUAUAAACUGCCACCGUAGCGGCGCAGUGUUCUUUUUGAUGUUUCCAAGCACAAGCUUUGGGUUUCUACAAUAGACAGUGCAAAUAGAUGUGUGGUCUCAUUCAUGUGCCCCACAUAGCUGUAGUGUCACAUCCUCAUCAGCUUGCAGUUUGUGAUUAACUGAAGCAUUAUGGUGUCCUCUUCCUACAUUGCCUGUCUAUGACAUGGUGCUUAUAAAGAUUUAAUGAGAGUAAGAGUGAAAUAAAGUUUUUAUAAUUGU
rnacentral:lncRNA from 1 species